GAAAGUUUGGUUCCCUCAGUGUAUGUCAGCGACAAAUUCACUCUUUUUCAUUUCCUUGUCAUCAUAGCUGAGCUAUGUCAGUUUGUGUUCUCGAAGAGCAGUUUAAAUUCAGUUUAGCUCACUACUGAGUUACUUUGUUGGAGUGAACUGGAAGCCAGUAGGAAUGUUUGUUCAAAGGGUUAACUUCACCUUCCCCAAGGUUGUAACGAGCAAUGGAAGAUCAAAAGCUUUUCCAAACUCUCGCAGCUUUUACAGUUUUUAGUCAAUGUCUUCCCUCUGUAAAGAAAGCCUGUUUAACAUACUUAAACUUGCGGUACAAAUGACUCUUUUUUGUCUCUAAUCGUAAACAUAAUUUGUCUGGUGUUUCAGUUCUUUAGAUUUAUGCAGUAGCCAUGUUUGUCAAAGUAUUUGGCUCUGGUGACAUCAUCUUUGUUGAAACGCCGGACAGCAUGAUGAGUCCCAGAUGUUAAUGCACACUGAGAGUCGAGAAAGAAUAAAAUCCAAAGAUCAACACUAACAGCUCUGGAGGAGUGCACUCACUUUGCACUCUGGGGUUGAUGGAUGAAUACGUGAUUUUUUCCAAGGCAUCCUAAAGCUGUUAAACCUUACAGUCUGUUUUCUUUCUGCCUGGCUUGUAAACUUUCGGCUCGGUGAAAGAAGUUGUGAGUUAUUUUCCUCUGGCAAAUGAAGCUCCAGGCAUGGAUCCCUUGCUGCUGACACAGUGCAAAGGAUAAAAAAGCCAUUUAAAAGACGGGUAAGAACAAACAACGUGAUUAAAGGGAGCUGCCAAAAGCUGUACAAGUGUCAGCUGCCACCACUGCUCGUUACAUGGAUGAAGCUGUUGACUUUUAAUUUAUAGACAUUUGAGAAGGUGUACGUGAAGACUUGAAAAGAAGGCUUUCUUUUGCUAAAAGAAAAAAGAGAACUGUUAUUAAGAACCUCUGCUGAAAUACACUGGUAAGUAGGUAAAUAUCUCACUGUCACUGUCCCAACAGGAAAUCCCACUCUAGGAGUGAGAUUUGUUUUAUUCAGAUGAUUCAACUCAUCAUUACGGAGGUCAGAUGGAAAGCAUUAUAAUGUAGCUUGCAAUUCCCAAUAGCCUGGUUUGUUCUGGAUCAGUUCUAGGGACGUGACGUGCUAUGUCCUGUUUUUGGAGAAAGUCUUGAAUGAGAAGGAAUUGUGAUAUUUCCUUCUUCUAUCUGAUGAGGUAAUUCUGUGAGAACAGCUUUGCUUGGUGGAACACAGGUAUGGGCACAGCA
rnacentral:lncRNA from 1 species